rnacentral:rRNA from 1 species
AACGAACGCUGGCGGCAGGCCUCAAACAUGCAAGUCUAGGGGGUGUAGCAAUACAUCACCGGCGGACGGGUGCGUAACGCGUGGGAAUAUACCUAUCGAUUCGGAACAACUGAGGGAAACUUCAGCUAAUACCGAAUACGUCCUAACGGAGAAAGAUUUAUCGUCGAUAGAUUAGCCCGCGUUCGAUUAGCUAGUUGGUGGGGUAACGGCCCACCAAGGCGACGAUCGAUAGCUGUUCUGAGAGGAAGAUCAGCCACACUGGGACUGAGACACGGCCCAGACUCCUACGGGAGGCAGCAGUUGGGAAUCUUGGACAAUGGGGGAAACCCUGAUCCAGCCAUGCCGCGUGAGUGAUGAGGGCCUUCGGGUUGUAAAACUCUUUCGCGCACGACGAUAAUGACGGUAGUGCGAGAAGAAGCUCCGGCUAACUUCGUGCCAGCAGCCGCGGUAAU